AGAAUUUGAUCUUGGUUCAGAUUGAAUGCUGACGGCGUGGAUGAGGCAUGCAAGUCGAACGGAGCUACUUCGGUAGCUUAGUGGCGAAAGGGUUAGUAAUACAUGAAUAACUUGCCUUUAACACAGGAAUAACAACUGGAAACGGUUGCUAAUACCUGAUGAGGUUUUUCUAAGGCAUCUUGGAAAAAUCAAAGGAGGGGACCUUCGGGCCUUCCGGUUAAAGAGAGGUUCAUGCGAUAUCAGCUAGUUGGUAGGGUAAUGGCCUACCAAGGCUAGGACGUCUAGGCGGACUGAGAGGUUGACCGCCAACACUGGGACUGAGACACUGCCCAGACUCCUACGGGAGGCUGCAGUCGAGAAUUAUUCGCAAUGGGCGCAAGCCUGACGAUGCGACGCCGUGUGAACGAAGAAGGCCUUCGGGUCGUAAAGUUCUUUCGCUUGGGAAUAAGCAAUGUAGGUAAAUAAUCUACAAAGUUGAGUGUACCAGGUAAAGAAGCACCGGCUAACUCCGUGCCAGCAGCUGCGGUAAUACGGAGGGUGCAAGCAUUAAUCGGAUUUACUGGGCGUAAAGGGCGCGUAGGCGGCUGAUCAAGUCAGAUGUGAAAUUCCAGAGCUCAACUUUGGAACUGCAUCUGAAACUGGUCGACUUGAGGAUAGACGGAGAAAAUGGAAUUCCACAUGUAGCGGUGAAAUGCGUAGAUAUGUGGAGGAACACCGGUGGCGAAAGCGGUUUUCUAGUUUAUACCUGACGCUGAGGCGCGAAAGCAAGGGGAGCAAACAGGAUUAGAUACCCUGGUAGUCCUUGCCGUAAACGAUGCAUACUUGAUGUAGCUGGGCUCAACCCCAGUUGUGUCGAAGCUAACGCGAUAAGUAUGCCGCCUGAGGAGUACGCUCGCAAGGGUGAAACUCAAAAGAAUUGACGGGGACCCGCACAAGCAGUGGAGCAUGUGGUUUAAUUCGAUGCAACGCGAAGAACCUUACCCAGGUUUGACAUGCAGAGGACGAUAUGAGAAAUUAUAUUUCCCUUCGGGGCCUCUGCACAGGUGCUGCAUGGCUGUCGUCAGCUCGUGCCGUGAGGUGUUGGGUUAAGUCCCGCAACGAGCGCAACCCUUAUCGUUAGUUGCCAGCAUUUAAGGUGGGGACUCUAGCGAGACUGCCUGGGUUAACCAGGAGGAAGGUGAGGAUGACGUCAAGUCAGCAUGGCCCUUAUAUCUGGGGCUACACACGUGCUACAAUGGUCGGUACAAAAGGCAGCUAAGCCGGAAGGUGGAGCAAAUCCUAGAAAACCGAUCCCAGUUCGGAUUGUAGUCUGCAACUCGACUACAUGAAGUUGGAAUUGCUAGUAAUGGCGUGUCAGCAAUAUCGCCGUGAAUACGUUCCCGGGUCUUGUACACACCGCCCGUCACAUCAUGGAAGUUGGUUUUGCCCGAAGUCGUUGACUCAACCGCAAGGAGAGAGGCGCCGAAGGUGAGGCCGAUAACUAGGAUGAAGUCGUAACAAGGUA
rnacentral:rRNA from 1 species